CUCAGUAGCUGCUGGCUUCCUGCUGCUGCUGCUGCUGCUGCUGCUGCUGCUGGUGGUGGUCUGUCUGGUCUGCAGGAGAAGAAAACGAGCAAAGCAGCCAACCCUUGUCCACAACAAAUUGGCUGUCAGAGUGGGAAAGUAUUGCAAAGAUGAUGAAGAUGAUUAUGUAAAUAUAAAUUCAAUGGAAACCAAGAAGAAUCUCAAAGAGGAAACAGUGGAUGAGGACAAUAUUUAUGAGGAACCAGAGCGAUUUGAUGAUCAUGAUUCUGAAGAAGUAGGCCUAAAUUCACGUUUGAGAAAGGACAAGGGGGUCUGUUUCAGUGAAGAUGAAAACAGAAAAGAGGAAGAAGAAACCAGUGAAGAAGAAGAUGACUAUGAAAAUAUUUGAAAACUGCAGACUGUAAUUACAGUUUAUGUCCAUAAGAUGUCAGACGCUGCUUACAUUCUAGAGAUGUGUGAAUACUCUCCUGACUGCACUGUACUCCAUGUGAAGUCAUUGGAACAAAGGAUUUCUUAAGGCAGGUAUUUUUAGUUUUCAUGUAAAAGAGAUACAUUAAUCAGUAUUAUGCACUUGUAUUUAACACUUUUCAAAGGGCACCUGAAAUAUUUUCAAACGUAAAGUAUAUUCCUCCUCACAACAAGCUAACAGAAUUUUAGUUUGUAUCCAUAGUGGACUGUAUCACUUUAUUAGAAAACACCCUUUAUAUUGAAUAUAUAGUUGUAAAAAAUGGUUAACAUUUUUUCAGCUUUAUUCUAUUUAAAGAAGAAAAAAAACUAAUUUCACUUAUUUGAAAUUGAGAGAUUAAAAAAACAUUUCUUGCACAGAUUCACUAAUUAAUAUUUGGUUCACUUAAUUGAAGGAGAAUCUUCACUCAUUUCUGACACAUCCCAUAAAGUAACCUAAGAACAUGA